rnacentral:rRNA from 1 species
AUGGCGCUCCCGGAACUGCUCUCGCGCCUGCGCCUCGCACCUCUCCACCAUCACCUGCGCCGCUCUCUCUCCGCCGUGGCCCCUCUGCCCCACGAGCCGCCCCCUCCCCAUCCCGCCCCACCGCCACAGCCGGCCUCCAAUAAGCACAAGCUAUUCGUCGCCGGGCUCUCGUGGUCCGCGGACGAGCGGUCGCUGACGGACGCCUUCUCCUCCUUCGGCACCGUCACCGAAGUGAGAAUAAUGUAUGACAAAAACUCUGGAAGGUCAAGAGGCUUUGGUUUUGUCCAGUUCUCAAAUCAUUAUGAGGCUAAGUAUGCCAAGGACGCUAUGGAUGGAAAGGUAAUGCUGGGGCGGGCAUUACGAAUAAGUUUUGCUCUUGACAAAGUUCGUGGUGGUCCAGUUAUUGUUCCACGUCUUCCCACGGUGAAACAAGACGACUAA